GACGAACGCUGGCGGCGUGCCUAACACAUGCAAGUCGAGCGAUGAAGUUCCUUCGGGAACGGAUUAGCGGCGGACGGGUGAGUAACACGUGGGCAACCUGCCUUAUAGAGGGGAAUAGCCUUCCGAAAGGAAGAUUAAUACCGCAUAAGAUUGUAGCUUCGCAUGAAGUAGCAAUUAAAGGAGCAAUCCGCUAUAAGAUGGGCCCGCGGCGCAUUAGCUAGUUGGUGAGGUAGCGGCUCACCAAGCCUUCGAUGGAUAGGGGUUCUGAGAGGAAGGUCCCCCACAUUGGAACUGAGACACGGUCCAA
rnacentral:rRNA from 1 species